rnacentral:rRNA from 1 species
AGCGAACGCUGGCGGCAGGCCUAACACAUGCAAGUCGAACGAACUCUUCGGAGUUAGUGGCGGACGGGUGAGUAACACGUGGGAACGUGCCUUUAGGUUCGGAAUAACUCAGGGAAACUUGUGCUAAUACCGAAUGUGCCCUUCGGGGGAAAGAUUUGUCGCCUUUAGAGCGGCCCGCGUCUGAUUAGUUAGUUGGUGAGGUAAGGGCUCACCAAGGCGAAGAUCAGUAGCUGGUCUGAGAGGAUGGCCAGCCACACUGGGACUGAGAAACGGCCCACACUCCUACGGGAGGCAGCAGUGGGGAAUCUUGCGCAAUGGGCGAAAGCCUGACGCAGCCAUGCCGCGUGAAUGAUGAAGGUCUUAGGAUUGUAAAAUUCUUUCACCGGGGACGAUAAUGACGGUACUCGGAGAAGAAGCCCCGGCUAACUUCGUGCCAGCCGCCGCAGUAA